rnacentral:rRNA from 1 species
GACGAACGCUGGCGGCGUGCUUAACACAUGCAAGUCGAACGAUGAAGCCGGAGCUUGCUCUGGUGAAUUAGUGGCGAACGGGUGAGUAACACGUGAGUAACCUGCCCUUGACUCUGGGAUAACUGCGGGAAACUGUAGCUAAUACCGGAUACGACCCUCGGAGGCAUCUCCUGGGGGUGGAAAGAAUUUCGGUCAAGGAUGGACUCGCGGCCUAUCAGCUAGUUGGUGAGGUAAAGGCUCACCAAGGCGACGACGGGUAGCCGGCCUGAGAGGGUGACCGGCCACACUGGGACUGAGACACUGCCCAGACUCCUACGGGAGGCAGCAGUGGGGAAUAUUGCACAAUGGGCGCAAGCCUGAUACAGCAACGCCGCGUGAGGGAUGACGGCCUUCGGGUUGUAAACCUCUUUUAGCAGGGAAGAAGCGAAAGUGACGGUACCUGCAGAAAAAGCACCGGCUAACUACGUGCCAGCCGCCGCGGUAA